GGAGCAGCUAAAUUUCCGCCGGGAAUCGGACACGACAAGCGCCCUCGGCGUUUCCUAGACACCGUUCUUGAGAUCUACUCGAUUUCCACUUUGGUUGUCUCCACUUCCAACACCUGUAUCCCAAUUCUCCCUCCUUGUUGCUAACGUUGUCCCACGAAAUCUCUACCGUCCGAUCCCCAUCUGAUGGCCUUCCUUCCGCCCCGAAGCCCGGCUCCCUUGGAGAGACGACGUUGACGACUCCUCAGUGCCGGCGCGCUAUAAAUAGCAGCCGCGGGGGUAGCGGGUGGGCGGGUGGCAGAGAGGGAGAUGGAUCGGAGGAGGGCGGGGAGUCCGCUGUACGGGCGGCAGAGGAACGGGGGUUCGAGCGGCACGGGCUCGUCGUCGCUGGGGAUGUCGCCGGGGCACCACCGGUCGGCGUCGGCGUCCGGGCUAUCCAGCGUCAAGAGGACGCAGAAUGUGGCGGCCAAGGCCGCCGCCGCGCGCCUCGCGCAGGUGAUGGCAUCGCAGAGCGCCGCCGGCGACUACGACGAGGACGAGGACGACAUCCCCUCCGCGGCCGGCGGCGUUGGGUUCCGGUGCGGCGCGUCCCGACCGGCGGCCAGCAGCAAUGGCAGCGGUGGCGCUUCUUUGCUUGGGAGGUCGACUAGAUCUUCCUCGCCUGCGUCAAGUCAGAACUUCGUAGAUCAUACUUCAGCAGUCCGCUCUACAUCAGCUGGAACGCCUUCAGUUUCUGUUUGUCCAGCACCGAUGGUGCCCCCAAGUAUAUCAACUCUGAGGACCCCUUCUCCUAUUCCAGCAAUUGAACCUCCCAAUGACAGUCGCAGAGAGAAGAGGUUUCCAGCAGAUAUGGGAUAUCUGAACUUGAGGGAAACAGGGAUUCAGCAUGAGGCUUCUGUCAUUCAAGAUGAGCUUGAUAUGCUACAAGAAGAGAAUGAGAGCAUCCUUGAAAAGUUGAGGCUUGCAGAAGAGAGAUGUGAGGAAGCAGAGGCCCGGGCCAAGGAGCUUGAGAAACAGGUUUCUGCUCUUGGAGAAGGGGUAUCUUUGGAAGCCCAAUUAUUGAGCAGGAAGGAAGCAGCUCUCCGCCAAAGAGAGGCUGCUCUUAAGGCUGCCAUGCAAACUACGGAUGGGAGAGAUGAGGAACUAAUAGCUCUCAGACAAGAAGUUGAGUCUGCUAAAGAAGAGGCUGCAACAGCCACUGGACAACUCAGAGAAGCUGAAUUGGAAGCCAAGGCUCUAUGCUCAAUGACACAAAGAAUGAUUCUAACACAAGAAGAGAUGGAAGAGGUUGUUCUUAAGAGAUGCUGGCUUGCGUGGUACUGGGGUUUGGCGGUAAAGCAUGGCAUCUAUCCAGAGAUUUCUUCAUCAAAAUAUGAGCACUGGUCAUCAUUAGCUCCUCUUCCUCUUGAAGUUGUCAUUUCUGCUGGUCAAAAGGCCAAGGAAGAAUUGUUGAAUCGAGGCGAAGAUGAUUUUGGGGGAAGAAAUAAACUUGUUGGGGAUUUGAGUGACAAAACUGGAGAAGGCAACAUAGAGAGCAUGCUUUUGGUUGAGAAGGGCCUAAGAGAACUAGCAUUUUUAAAGGUCCUCUUUUAUGUUCCAUCUUCAAGGUGGAGGAUGCCGUUAUGCUUGCACUGGCUCAACAUAGGAGACCAAGUUCGCUUCGACAACUGUCUUCAGAUUUUAAAUCACCUGGUGAUCCAAAGUUGUUGGAGUCAUUUGAACUGAACCAAGAGGAGUCGCAAGAUGUUACAUUUAAGCAGGCUUGGCUUGUAUAUUUCUGGAGAAGAGCCAAAGUCCAUGGCAUAAAAGAAGAUAUCGCUGAAGAGAGGCUGCAGUUCUGGAUCAGUCGUAGCGGCCAACCACAAACUUCUCAUGAGGCUGUUGAUGUGGAGAGAGGUCUGAUAGAGCUGAGAAAGCUGGGUAUUGAACAGCACUUAUGGGAAGCAUCCCGAAGAGAUAUAGAGCAAGCCUCCUCAGGCACAGAGAACUCUUCAUUAUGACUGAACUCCUUGUUCUUUCUGUUUAAUAAUUUUAUAUUUUUCAUGGCAUCCAUCAUCAGUUUCUCAGUUUAGAGAUCCACGUAUCUCCAUGUCUGCGUGCUUCCAGUAACCAAGGGCAACAAUUAUCAGGAGGUGCCAACCACAUUUUCCUCUAUCUGUAGGUUGCCUUUAUGUAAUUUUGACAGGCUUCAAUCUUUUUGGUCUUUUGUAUACUUUUUUUUUUAACAUAAACAAGGUUAUCAAUUGCCACUUGACAUUUAGCGUGGCUGUUUUUCUUUUUUUGUCAAGAAGACUACAUCUGUAUCAAAAUUAACUGGUUGCAGCUUUGUUUGGCUGUCUGUAGCUGUAUUACCUAGAUUACUACCUUGUUUACCUUGUCUUCGAAGCAGUUAACAGGACCAUUAGCUUCUCCUUGAACUA